UACGUAGGGUGCGAGCGUUAAUCGGAAUUACUGGGCGUAAAGCGUGCGCAGGCGGUUUUGUAAGACAGGUGUGAAAUCCCCGGGCUUAACCUGGGAACUGCAUUUGUGACUGCAAGGCUUGAGUAUGGCAGAGGGGGGUAGAAUUCCCCGUGGAGCAGUGAAAUGCGUAGAUAUGUGGAGGAAUACCGAUGGCGAAAGCAGCCCCCCUGGGUCAAUACUGACGCUCAUGCACGAAAGCGUGGGGAGCAAACAGG
rnacentral:rRNA from 1 species